rnacentral:rRNA from 1 species
CUGGAAACCGGAGCUAAUACCGGAUGAUAUUUUGAACCGCAUGGUUCAAAAGUGAAAGACGGUCUUGCUGUCACUUAUAGAUGGAUCCGCGCUGCAUUAGCUAGUUGGUAAGGUAACGGCUUACCAAGGCAACGAUGCAUAGCCGACCUGAGAGGGUGAUCGGCCACACUGGAACUGAGACACGGUCCAG